rnacentral:lncRNA from 1 species
CUGCCACUGAGUGGAAUCAUUGGUGGUCCUCUGAUGGAAGUAUUGUCCUUUCAGUAAUCAGAAACAAAGAGUGGAACAUAGACAGCCUACUGGAAAACAGGUUUUUUGAAUUUACAGAGAUUAGAUCAACCUGGCUCACAUAAUCACCUUUUGAACUAAUGUGUCUGUUGCCUUUUUCUGAGAGAUGUAAUUUAGUAUUUUUGUAUAUAUACUGUUUAGCACUUCUCUUUUCCUUCUCUCCUCAUGUAUGUAUAGUUAGUUUGGAUCAGUUUUGGAAAGGAGUCAGUAUGAGUGGAAUAGAACAGGGAGAGCUAAUUGACUAUGAAUUGGGAAAGAUUAAAGAUGGAUGUUUAUGGCUCAGGGUGCCAAGGAAUCUGACCAUGCUUCUGUGGAAUACCAAAUUUCCCACAAAAAGUUUCUAUAACUGAAUAAGCAGAAGCUCAAAAACUAAAGAAACAUGGACACAGUAACAAGUGUGAACACCAGCAAAAUCAGGAAAAGCUGGAAAAUAUUUUACCUUUCACUGAAAUGUUCAUUCAUUGCAUCAUUUGGCGCAAACACUAAGUUAAUGGUUAAUUAACAAAGGUAAGUACCAUCCCUGUCUCCUUUUUCAAGUCCAUGCAUUGAUUCAACUAAAUGUGUAUUCUUUA